GAUGAAGAACGUAGCGAAAUGCGAUAAGUAGUGUGAAUUGCAGAAUUCAGUGAAUCAUCGAAUCUUUGAACGCACAUUGCGCCCCUUGGUAUUCCGAGGGGCAUGCCUGUUCGAGCGUCAUUAUAACCCCUCAAGCUUAGCUUGGUGUUGGGGCCUGCUGUAAUAGAGCAGCCCUUAAAAUCAGUGGCGGUGCCAUUAGGCUCUAAGCGUAGUAAUUCUUCUCGCUAUAGGGUUCUGGUGGAUGCUUGCCAUUAACCUCUAAUUUUCUAUGGUUGACCUCGGAUCAGGUAGGGAUACCCGCUGAACUUAAGCAUAUCAAUAAGCGGAGGA
rnacentral:misc_RNA from 1 species